rnacentral:sRNA from 1 species
CUUACUGUGUAGCCCAGGGUGGCUUCAGACUUGUCCUCCUCCCGUCUCUUCCUCUGGAUGUUGGGACUUCCAAUGGACAAACAUGUCACGCUCAGCCUCCACCUUACCCUUUAACCCUGACGUCUAAGUCUAUCUAUUCUAUACUGUCAGUGGUUAGCUCAGUUUUUAAGCACUCACCCUUUGUGUGGCAGGUGCCUGGGAUAUAUCUGUGAUUGAGAGAGUUAUAUGGUCUUUGUCUUUCCUGUCUUGAAGUUUAUGGUGACAGCAGUAACCAUGCUGGUGUGGAUAGGCUGUUCAUGGAACAGAGAGGGGCACAGAGGCAGAUGCUCCAGAGUAGGGGAAGCUGGUGAGAACCUCUCUCUUUUCACAUAUAUUUAUUUUAUGUGUGUUUUAUGUGUGUGUGGGUACACACAUGCCACUGUGCACACGUGGAGGUCUGACAACAGAUGGCAGGUGUUGGUUCUUUGCUUCUGCUGUGUGGGUUCUGGGGUCAAACUCAGUUGUUAGGCCUGGUGGCAGGCACCUAUAUUCACCAGGCCAACUUAGUAUCCUGUAAGGUCACUUGGAGGAAGGAAAUGCUCGAGAGAUAGGACAUGUGUAGGAGUUAAAGCCUGAUAUUUAAAAUGUUGUGAUCCUUAUGAGAGAAAUCAGCACAUUCAAGGAAAAGAAGAAAACUGAGCCUACCUGGACAUAAAGGUUUUCUUUAUGUCUAGGUCUCUUACUGCUGAAGUGGCUGUGAACAAUUUCUGGGGAUUAUGUAGAUUAAUUGCUUCUGGUUUUCAAGGAAAUAAAGCUUGAAUGGACCAAGCAACAAAAGAAGCAUGCAGCUACGUAGUAUUCAGAACUUGUUUAUCCUGUGUCUCUCAGCAAGCAGAUCUCCAGGGGAUCCUGUGAAGUCUCAGUACAAGCACUCAACAUGUAUUAAACAUGUAUUACCAUGACUAAGGACAUUUAACGUUCAACAAUUCAUUCUGCUCUAAGUGGAUUUGAAGAAGUCUUCCAGACCGAGUCUCAAAUAGCCUGGACCAUCCUCAAACUUACCGAAUAGCUAACAUUGGCCUUCAUUUCCUGUUCCUCCAGCCUCUACCUCCCAGAUUCUGUGAUUACAGGUACAUGAAUCACUACUUUGGGCUUCACAACAUAGGUCUGAGCAAACGUUUAGGAAACAAACACAUGCUUUGAAUCUCGUUAAGACUAGGCCUAC